UCGCGGAUCAGCACGCCGCGGUGAAUACGUUCCCGGGCCUUGUACACACCGCCCGUCACACCACGAGAGUUUGUAACACCCGAAGUCGGUGAGGUAACCUUUUGGAGCCAGCCGCCUAAGGUGGGAUAGAUGAUUGGGGUGAAGUCGUAACAAGGUAGCCGUAUCGGAAGGUGCGGCUGGAUCACCUCCUUU
rnacentral:rRNA from 1 species